rnacentral:rRNA from 1 species
UACGUAGGGUGCGAGCGUUUGUCCGGAAUUAUUGGGCGUAAAGAGCUCGUAGGCGGUUUGUCGCGUCGGGAUGUGAAAGCCCGGGGGCUUAACUCCGGGUCUGCAUUCGAUACGGGCAGGCUAGAGUUCGGUAGGGGAGAUCGGAAUUCCUGGUGUAGCGGUGAAAUGCGCAGAUAUCAGGAGGAACACCGGUGGCGAAGGCGGAUCUCUGGGCCGUAACUGACGCUGAGGAGCGAAAGCGUGGGGAGCGAACAGG